UACGGAGGGUGCAAGCGUUAUCCGGAUUUACUGGGUUAAAGGGUGCGUAGGUGGGUUGGUAAGUCAGUGGUGAAAUACUUUCGCUUAACGAAGGAACUGCCAUUGAUACUACCAGUCUUGAAUACAGUGGAGGUAGGCGGAAUGCGUCAUGUAGCGGUGAAAUGCUUAGAUAUGACGCAGAACACCAAUUGCGAAGGCAGCUUGCUACACGUGUUAUUGACACUGAGGCACGAAAGCGUGGGGAUCAAACAGG
rnacentral:rRNA from 1 species